CCUACGGGUGGCAGCAGUGGGGAAUAUUGGACAAUGGGGGCAACCCUGAUCCAGCCAUGCCGCGUGUGUGAAGAAGGCCCUCGGGUUGUAAAGCACUUUCAGUGAGGAAGAACGCCUGGUGGUUAAUACCCAUCAGGAAAGACAUCACUCACAGAAGAAGCACCGGCUAACUCCGUGCCAGCAGCCGCGGUAAUACGGAGGGUGCGAGCGUUAAUCGGAAUUACUGGGCGUAAAGCGCGCGUAGGUGGCUUGAUAAGCCGGUUGUGAAAGCCCCGGGCUCAACCUGGGAACGGCAUCCGGAACUGUCAAGCUAGAGUGCAGGAGAGGAAGGUAGAAUUCCCGGUGUAGCGGUGAAAUGCGUAGAGAUCGGGAGGAAUACCAGUGGCGAAGGCGGCCGUCUGGACUGACACUGACACUGAGGUGCGAAAGCGUGGGUAGCAAACAGGAUUAGAUACCCGUGUAGUC
rnacentral:rRNA from 1 species